rnacentral:lncRNA from 1 species
AUCUUUUAGCAAAACUCUCUACCCCCUACAGAAGACUUUUCGGUUCAGGUACAGAUCCCAGUUGCACCUCUAAUGUGAAAUAAUGUCUUUUAAAGCCAUCACAAAAAUGAACGAAAACACAUUAAGGGGAUAAAAUGCUUUCAACUAUAAAAAUAGAUGAUUGGUUUCACUUAUCUCCUAGCAACACUCUUGUGUGUGUGUGUGUGUUUUCCAUUUCAAGCUCAGGAUUUACAGGCAUUGUUCUGCUGAUCAUAAAGCACCAGGCGACACUGUCGUGCUGCACCACGCACAUCAUUUGGGAAAGAGAAGGUGGAAACGGAGUCAUGUUCAACCCAGAUGUCCGCAGGAGCAGCACCAGCUGGGCCCUUUGAGCCGGACAGAAAUGAGAGAAACAGUUCUCUCCUCUCAUCUGUGGAGCCACAGGGCUCUCCUGCUUCACAAUACUUCUCGUGUAGUACUUUAGCUGGCUUUUCCAGAAUGGGUUAAUUUGGCCCAAGUUGUUGGUACACAUUAGGAAGAAAUGCAGAAUGCCAGCAAGAAACAAGUGACUGAAUAAACAAAAACAAAACAGGGAAUAAAAAAAUAAAA